rnacentral:rRNA from 1 species
GACGAACGCUGGCGGCGUGCUUAACACAUGCAAGUCGAACGAUGAUGCUGGAGCUUGCUCCAGUUGAUUAGUGGCGAACGGGUGAGUAACACGUGAGCAAUCUGCCCUUGACUCUGGGAUAACUGCGGGAAACUGUAGCUAAUACCGGAUACUUUCACCGGAAGGCAUCUUCUGGUGAUGAAAGAAUUUCGGUCAGGGAUGAGCUCGCGGCCUAUCUGCUUGUUGGUGAGGUAACGGCUCACCAAGGCGACGACGGGUAACCGGCCUGAGAGGGUGACCGGUCACACUGGGACUGAGACACGGCCCAGACUGCUACGGGAGGCAGCAGUGGGGAAUAUUGCACAAUGGGCGCAAGCCUGAUGCAGCAACGCCGCGUGAGGGAUGAAGGCCUUCGGGUUGUAAACCUCUUUUAGCAGGGAAGAAGCGAAAGUGACGGUACCUGCAGAAAAAGCACCGGCUAACUACGUGCCAGCAGCCGCGGUAA